UACAGGGGGGGCAAGCGUUGUUCGGAAUUACUGGGCGUAAAGGGCUCGUAGGUGGCCAACUAAGUCAGACGUGAAAUCCCUCAGCUUAACUGGGGAACUGCGUCUGAUACUGGAUGGCUUGAGUUUGGGAGAGGGAUGCGGAAUUCCAGGUGUAGCGGCGAAAUGCGUAGAUAUCUGGAGGAACACCGGUGGCGAAGGCGGCAUCCUGGACCAACACUGACACUGAGGAGCGAAGGCCAGGGGAGCAAACGGG
rnacentral:rRNA from 1 species